rnacentral:rRNA from 1 species
UACGAAGGGGGCUAGCGUUGCUCGGAAUCACUGGGCGUAAAGGGUGCGUAGGCGGGUCUUUAAGUCCGGGGUGAAAUCCUGGAGCUCAACUCCAGAACUGCCUUUGAUACUGAGGAUCUUGAGUUCGGGAGAGGUGAGUGGAACUGCGAGUGUAGAGGUGAAAUUCGUAGAUAUUCGCAAGAACACCAGUGGCGAAGGCGGCUCACUGGGACGGUACUGACGCUGAGACGCGAAAGCGUGGGGAGCGAACAGG